rnacentral:rRNA from 1 species
UACAGAGGUCUCAAGCGUUGUUCGGAUUCAUUGGGCGUAAAGGGUGUGUAGGUGGCGCGCUAAGUCGGGGUGUGAAAUUUCGGAGCUUAACUCCGAAACUGCAUUCGAUACUGGCGUGCUUGAGGACUGGAGAGGAGACUGGAAUUUACGGUGUAGCAGUGAAAUGCGUAGAUAUCGUAAGGAAGACCAGUGGCGAAGGCGGGGUCUCUGGGCAAACAACUGACGCUGAGGAGCGAAAGCGUGGGGGAGCGAACAGG